rnacentral:rRNA from 1 species
GAUGAACGCUGGCGGCGUGCCUAAUACAUGCCAGUCGAGCGAACAGACGAGGAGCUUGCUCCUCUGACGUUAGCGGCGGACGGGUGAGUAACACGUGGAUAACCUACCUAUAAGACUGGGAUAACUUCGGGAAACCGGAGCUAAUACCGGAUAAUAUAUUGAACCGCAUGGUUCAAUAGUGAAAGACGGUUUUGCUGUCACUUAUAGAUGGAUCCGCGCCGCAUUAGCUAGUUGGUAAGGUAACGGCUUACCAAGGCAACGAUGCGUAGCCGACCUGAGAGGGUGAUCGGCCACACUGGAACUGAGACACGGUCCAGACUCCUACGGGAGGCAGCAGUAGGGAAUCUUCCGCAAUGGGCGAAAGCCUGACGGAGCAACGUCGCGUGAGUGAUGAAGGUCUUCGGAUCGUAAAACUCUGUUAUUAGGGAAGAACAAAUGUGUAAGUAACUAUGCACGUCUUGACGGUACCUAAUCAGAAAGCCACGGCUAACUACGUG